rnacentral:rRNA from 2 species
GCUGGUGGCCUUAGCGUCUGUGCCCCACCCGAUCCCAUCCCGAACUCGGCCGUGAAACCGGACAGCGCCGAUGGUACUACCGCUUAAGCGUUGGGAGAGUAGGUCGCUGCCAGCC